rnacentral:pre_miRNA from 1 species
UGACCUCCACAGGCUGGCUGGUCCCCAGGCUUGGCUGGGCGAGUAUCUUUUUGAAAUGCUCAGCCUUAAGCACAACUAGGAGC